AGAAAAUUGGAAAAUUACAGUUUGAGACGAUUAGUCAGUUCUGGGAACGUUAAUUAAUUUGAGUUAGUUGAUGUUUUGUAUCCUGAAUAUACUCUUGAUUGUGGAAGCUAUGAAGCAUAGACCAACCUUCCACUCUCAUCACUAUCAUGGUUGGGGGGAACAGGAGCAUCAUCAACCAGAUCAUCAUAAAGGAAAUCAUCGAGGAGAAAAACAUCAUAAAGGUCAACACCAUGGACAGCAUCAUCACCGGGGUCUACAUCAUGAUGCACAUCAUGGACAAUUUCAUCAUGAUGGACAGCACCAUGGAGAAUAUCAUCAUGAAGGAGAACAUCCUGGCUCCCAUACUCAUCAUAACGGAGAACUUGAAUAUUUACAUUUCUACGGUUAAGCUUGAAUCCGAGCCUGGGCAAAAAUUAUAAAGAUUUAGAUUUGUAUCGAGAUUAAAUUGUUGAUUUCAA
rnacentral:misc_RNA from 1 species